rnacentral:rRNA from 1 species
UACAGAGGUCCCGAGCGUUGUUCGGAUUUAUUGGGCGUAAAGGGUGCGUAGGCGGCGGAGUAAGUUGGGUGUGAAAUCCCGAGGCUCAACCUCGGAAUUGCAUUCAAUACUGCUUCGCUCGAGUACUGGAGAGGAGGCUGGAAUUUACGGUGUAGCAGUGAAAUGCGUAGAUAUCGUAAGGAAGACCAGUGGCGAAGGCGGGUCUCUGGACAGUUCCUGACACUGAGGCACGAAGGCCAGGGGAGCAAACGGG